UGAGAGGUGGCCGAGCGGUUUAAGGCGCACGCCUGGAAAGCGUGUUUUCCGGAGACGGAAUCGAGGGUUCGAAUCCCUUCCUCUCAG
rnacentral:tRNA from 1 species